GGAGAGGUGUCCGAGCGGUUUAAGGAGCUGGUCUUGAAAACCAGUGAUGCGAGAGCACCGUGAGUUCGAAUCUCACCCUCUCCGCCA
rnacentral:tRNA from 1 species